AUAGGUUUGGAACGACAUGAGGAUAAAUAGCAGAAUUGUCUUAUUUGAGGAGGUGAACUUUCCCUUUAAGAUCACUUUAUGUGAGAGUUCACCUCAGCCUAUAGAAUGCUCAUCUCAGAUGUUGAUAUAUUUUAUCUCAGACGUCUCUAAAGUCCACCAGCACGAUCAAUCAGACAUGCAUCAUCUGUAGCCAAUGGCUCCCUCCGAGUGAGAGCGAUCCGGCCUAAGUAUGUAUGCUUGACGCCUGCUUUGCUGAUUUCUGUCAGCGUUAAUAUGAGUAAUGAGCUCUGAGCUGUGCCACUGAUGUGCCUGAGGAAACUAAAUCGACGGGUACACAGUUUUCGUCCCUACACCGGUAUCAGAUAGAGCCUCCGUAGCUUCUUCUGCACUGAUGUGACUGGUCUCAGUCAUGCUGCCUCGUCCCUCAAGCAACAGGUGACAGAAGUUACAAGCAAAUGUGUCUCCGGCCACAGCGUCCCUCCUUUGAGGACCUGACCCAGGGCAGGCUGUCUGGCGACGUGCCCGAUGGAAAAGUGAGCUGUCUCGGCUCCCGACAUGCAGUGAGCAGAGGAUGUCAAGUCACGUCUUCAUCAGAGAAGAGUUUAAUCCAUGUUUGAGGAAAUAAAACAGUUGUUGACAUGGUUGAAGAGAUCUGAUCUCAGAGCAGACCUUCAGAGCAGAGACAUAUCCACAGUAGAAAGCUUCUGUAUAUUUCUUAUUGCGGUAGAAAGCAUUGUAUAACAUUUGUUUCAGUACUAAAAAUUAAUGGAAAAUUAAUCUUAUUGUAUAACUUUUAUUAUUUUUAUUUAUUCCAAGAAUAAUUUAGUUUAGACCUCUCUUUUGCUCUAUAGUUAAGGAUGGAACGGCGCCAGAGAGCAGGCUACUAACAAAUGAAAGACCGCUGCUAUCCUGAAACUUAGUUUGAAUUACAUCCUGCAACUUAUGUGUGUCAUCAAAUCCUGCCAGCAUCCCGACCAGCCCAGCACGACAACAGUGGCUCAACCAAUGGCGUUUGUUUGGGGCGGGGCUAUCUGUUUGACUGACCAAUGGCAAAUAGGGUGAGUGUUGUGAAUGGGGUGAGGAAACCUAUUUGAAAACAUUAUUUUUUUAUGCUA